rnacentral:rRNA from 1 species
GACGAACGCUGGCGGCGUGCUUAACACAUGCAAGUCGAACGGUGAAGCGCCUUCCUUUUUGGUGGGUGUGGAUGAGUGGCGAACGGGUGAGUAACACGUGAGUAACCUGCCCCCCUCUUCUGGAUAGCCGCAUGAAAGUGUGGCUAAUACGGGAUAUUCUGGGUCUGUCGCAUGAUGGGUCGGGGCAAGAUAUUGUUUCGGUGGGGGAUGGGCUCGCGGCCUAUCAGCUUGUUGGUGGUGUGAUGGCCUACCAAGGCGGUGGCGGGUAGCCGGCCUGGGGGGGUGGCCGGCCAGAGUGGGUCGGAGGCAAGGUCGAGACUCCGACAGGGCGCAGCAGUGGGGAGUAGGGAGCAGUGGGGGCAAGUGUGAUGCAGCGACGCGGCGGGAGGGAUGGCGGCGUGCGGGGUGUGAACGUCUUCCGGCAGUGAAGCGGUCCUGCCUGGGUUGUAGGGGGGUUGACGGUAGCUGGAUAAGAAGCGCCGGCUAACUACGUG